UACGUAGGGUGCGAGCGUUAAUCGGAAUUACUGGGCGUAAAGCGUGCGCAGGCGGUUUUGUAAGCCAGAUGUGAAAUCCCCGGGCUUAACCUGGGAAUGGCAUUUGGGACUGCAAGGCUUGAGUGCGGCAGAGGAGACUGGAAUUCCUGGUGUAGCAGUGAAAUGCGUAGAUAAUCAGGAGGAAUACCGAUGGCGAAGGCAGGUCUCUGGGCUGACACUGACGCUCAUGCACGAAAGCGUGGGGAGCAAACAGGAUUACGAA
rnacentral:rRNA from 1 species